CCAGCCCCCCACCCCGACGCCCCUCACCAAGACGCCGAAGGGCUUCCCCCAUUCCUCCUCCCGGCGCUCACCUCCGGCCGCACCCCCUUCCCGCCGCUCCACCUCCCGGACCCCGUCGACCACGACGACAGGUCCGACCUCUUCUCCGUCUGCUCCGACGACGAAGAUGACGAGAGCCCGCCCCUCCCCGCCUUCCCUGAGCUGGAGGCCGCGGUCGACGCGGCCAUCGCCGAGCUCGGCGGGGCCGCGCUCCCCAAGCUCAACUGGAGCGCGCCCAAGGACGCCGCCUUCAUGUCCGCCGAUGGCACCGUCCGCUGCACCUGCUUCGCCGAGGUCGCCAUGCUGCUCCGCUCCUCCGACUGCGUCGCGCACGACCUCGCCUCCGCGCGCCCGUCCUGCCAGGACUUCGUACGCGCCAACAAAGGUGUUCGACGGAAUGCCGGACAGGGCAGUGAUGCCAACAACUCGGGUGCUAAAUCAAAUGGCAGAGAGGGCACCAGUGGUGCUGAUUCUCUGAGUGAUCCUCCCACUGAUGGUUGCAACGAAGGAGGCAGGCAAGCUGUUGCCGGCAGCGAUGAUGCGCCGGAAGACGAUGUUGGACAAGACAAUGGUGAUGAUACUUGGGUGGACGACGGGUUCCAGUACUACCUCGCCCUCCGCAAGUGGUACCCGGGCCUCCGCCCCGAGUCAGAGUUCUGAUGCUUCGUGCGGGGACGAAAGCUGGUCGGCGUGUCGCAGAGGGACACGUCUGCUUACUACCCUUCGUUGCCUGGGUGGAGUGCUGAGUUGCAGCCGAAGAUCAAGGAUUUCUUUGAACAAGUUGUUGAGCCGCAGUUUGCUUCAGAGAAUUAUACAUUUGAUGUGUAUGUCAGAGCAGAUGGCCGGGUGAAGCUGAUUGAUUUCAAUCCUUGGGGCGGCUACACCUUGCCCCUUAUGUUUACAUGGGAGGAGCUCGAGGAGGAGCAGCGAGGAGAGGACGACCUGGAGUUUAGAGUGGUAAUGGAGCAAGGUGCGGUGAGGCCAGGAUUAAUGACAGCAGUGCCGUAUGAUAUGCUGGAUUGGGGAGAAGGGAGCGGCUGGGAUGUUUUUCUGAAGAAGGCUGACAAUGAGCUCAUCAGACAGACGGCCUCAUUAGGUAUGGAUUCGUAA
rnacentral:rRNA from 1 species